AUUGAACGCUGGCGGCAGGCCUAACACAUGCAAGUCGAACGGUAACAGGAAGCAGCUUGCUGCUUUGCUGACGAGUGGCGGACGGGUGAGUAAUGUCUGGGAAACUGCCCGAUGGAGGGGAUAACUACUGGAAACGGUAGCUAAUACCGCAUAACGUCGCAAGACCAAAGAGGGGGACCUUAGGGCCUCUUGCCAUCGGAUGUGCCCAGAUGGGAUUAGCUAGUAGGUGGGGUAACGGCUCACCUAGGCGACGAUCCCUAGCUGGUCUGAGAGGAUGACCAGCCACACUGGAACUGAGACACGGUCCAGACUCCUACGGGAGGCAGCAGUGGGGAAUAUUGCACAAUGGGCGCAAGCCUGAUGCAGCCAUGCCGCGUGUAUGAAGAAGGCCUUCGGGUUGUAAAGUACUUUCAGCGGGGAGGAAGGGAGUAAAGUUAAUACCUUUGCUCAUUGACGUUACCCGCAGAAGAAGCACCGGCUAACUCCGUG
rnacentral:rRNA from 1 species